AAAAGAGCAAGUAGAGCAGAACGUAAACGCUAUUUUUAAAUGUUGAUUGCUCAUUGCAGGUCAAGGGGAAGACGGUACAUUGUGUAAAAAAGAAAGUGCCAAAGGGAACAAGAAAAGGGCUCCAUGUGGACCUCCGAUCAUGAAUGAAUUUGACAAAAGCUGGAUCCAAAGUGAGAUGGGACACAGAUACUCAAGUGCAUGGACAUCUUCUCAUCCCCGAGGAGCUUCAUUACUAUUAGUGGAUAUGAGGCCAUCAAACUCUUUGCCUGGCUUAAAGUAGCUGUGGGGGAGGGAAACAGAUUCCAGAGGAAAAAAAUAAAAAGUCAUCCUUUGUAGGGAAUUUCCUGUCUCACUUUGCUAUCGCACUGCUUUAAAGGUCACUAAGAAUCAGACACUGCAUACCUACCAUGCCUCCUGACCUGGCCAAUCAAAUAUUAGCCACAGGCUUUUCCGCACACUGAGACGGUGUGGGCUGGGUGCAAUCAGCUGAAAGAGGCUGACCCCUCAUCCACACGGCAUAUUUUUUAACCUUUUGGAUUUGGUGAGUUUUUGCUCUGGAAAAGUUGCUACACCGUCAAAGCAGAGUAGAGAAGGACAAUCUCCCCAUGCCGCAUCAUCACAACGGGAUGUUCUUAAGAUGCUCUUCAUGGAUUGUGUUGUUAUUUGGAGGAAACCCCUAUAAAUGGAAACAGAGGCCCUCACACCCAGCUGAGAGUGAUUUUGGUUUCACUCCUUGGACAUGAUUGCAGCAUUUCAGGUUUUGAAAGGUCUCGGAUUUUCGACAGCGUUUGAAAAAAGCGUUGUCGUUUGGUUGCUGACCGAAGAGCCAUGACUGGGAGCUGUGAGGACAUACUACCUCCUGAUAAGACACAGAUGUAUGGCAGAGGAGAGAAAGCUGCAAAUCCACGUUUGGCUUUGAAUUAAUAUUUCAAAUCUGGUUAUCAGGUAAUGGAUUACUGUCUGCAGAACCAUCACAGAUGGCCUUGGGUGAACUGGGAUGGAUGCGUGUGUCAGAAUCAGCAGUAUUUUAUUAUCAUCUAUCAAGCUGUGCGCACUGCCACACUUUCUUUGCUUUUUUUAUUUUUAUUUAUUAAACUUGUCUGUGUUUAUGCAUUUAUGCCUGAUUGUUUAUGCAGCAGAAGACUGACGAGUCAAAGCGGAGCCUUGGCAAGGUUGCAUCUUCGUAUGAGAGCAUGCAUAAUACAUAUGACGACACAGAAAACUUAAA